rnacentral:rRNA from 1 species
AGGGCAUGCCUUAGUACGGCGAGUGAAGCGGCAAAAGCUCAAAUUUGAAAUCUGGUACCUUCGGUGCCCGAGUUGUAAUUUGGAGAGGGCAACUUUGGGGCCGUUCCUUGUCUAUGUUCCUUGGAACAGGACGUCAUAGAGGGUGAGAAUCCCGUGUGGCGAGGAGUGCGGUUCUUUGUAAAGUGCCUUCGAAGAGUCGAGUUGUUUGGGAAUGCAGCUCUAAGUGGGUGGUAAAUUCCAUCUAAAGCUAAAUAUUGGCGAGAGACCGAUAGCGAACAAGUACAGUGAUGGAAAGAUGAAAAGAACUUUGAAAAGAGAGUGAAAAAGUACGUGAAAUUGUUGAAAGGGAAGGGCAUUUGAUCAGACAUGGUGUUUUGUGCCCUCUGCUCCUUGUGGGUAGGGGAAUCUCGCAUUUCACUGGGCCAGCAUCAGUUUUGGUGGCAGGAUAAAUCCAUAGGAAUGUAGCUUGCCUCGGUAAGUAUUAUAGCCUGUGGGAAUACUGCCAGCUGGGACUGAGGACUGCGACGUAAGUCAAGGAUGCUGGCAUAAUGGUUAUAUGCCGCCCGUCUUGACCCCCGGAGACCAAAAAA